rnacentral:rRNA from 1 species
CCUACGGGGGGCAGCAGUGGGGAAUAUUGCACAAUGGGGGAAACCCUGAUGCAGCGACGCCGCGUGAGUGAAGAAGUAAUUCGUUACGUAAAGCUCUAUCAGCAGGGAAGAAACACUGACCUUACGGUCAGCAGACGGUACCUGAGUAAGAAGCCCCUGGUAACUACCUGCCAGCAGCCGCGGUAAUACGGAGGGGGCAAGCGUUUUCCGGAUUUACUGGGUGUAAAGGGAGGGUAGACGGUGCGCCAAGUCUGGAGUGAAAUGCCGCGGCUUAACUGCGGAACUGCUGUGGAAACUGGCGAACUAGAGUGCGGGAGGAGUAAGCGGAAUGCGUAGUGUAGCGGUGAAAUGCGUAGAUAUUAGGAGGAACACCGGUGGCGAAGGCGGCUUACUGGACCGUAACUGACGUUGAGGCUCGAAAGCGUGGGGAGCAAACAGGAUUAGAUACCCGGGUAGUC